GGUAACGGUAGGUGAACCUGCCGUUGGAUCAGUUCUAGUUUUAAUAACUAACACCAACUUCUUUUUAUUAAACAAAAACCAAUACAAAAUUAAAAACUAACUUCAUCAAAAACCAAGUCUCUAAGCAAUGGAUGUCUUGGCUCCUCACACGAUGAAGAACGUGGCAUAAUGUGUUAAGUAACCGGAGUUGCAAACAUCAUGACAGGUUAAUCUUUGAAUGCAAAUUGCGCUAAACUCGAUCUCGGUCGAGAAGCAUGGGUGUGACAGUACUACAUCUUUUAUAAUAAUUCUUAUUCUAAGCGAAUAAGUAAAUAAUAUAUAAGACAAACAACACGUAGUCUGCCAUACGCAGGAAGACCCGCUGAACUGAAGCAUCUCAUUAAGCGG
rnacentral:rRNA from 1 species